GAUGAAGAACGUAGCGAAAUGCGAUAAGUAGUGUGAAUUGCAGAAUUCAGUGAAUCAUCGAAUCUUUGAACGCACAUUGCGCCCCUCGGUAUUCCGUGGGGCAUGGCUGUUCGAGCGUCAUUUAACCCCUCAAGCCUAGCUUGGUAUUGGGUGCUUGUCCCGCCUCUCGCGCGGCGACUCACCUCAAAGUCAUUGGCAGCCCGCAUCUCGCCGGCCGUGAGCGCAGCACAGACGCGCUCUUGGCAACGACGGAUCGGCUCUCCAAAAGCUUAUUUCAACCACUGACCUCGGAUCAGGUAGGGAUACCCGCUGAACUUAAGCAUAUCAAUAAGCGGAGGA
rnacentral:misc_RNA from 1 species